rnacentral:rRNA from 1 species
AUACGUAGGGUGCAAGCGUUAAUCGGAAUUACUGGGCGUAAAGCGUGCGCAGGCGGUUUUGUAAGACAGUGGUGAAAUCCCCGGGCUCAACCUGGGAACUGCCAUUGUGACUGCAAGGCUGGAGUGCGGCAGAGGGGGAUGGAAUUCCGCGUGUAGCAGUGAAAUGCGUAGAUAUGCGGAGGAACACCGAUGGCGAAGGCAAUCCCCUGGGCCUGCACUGACGCUCACGCACGAAAGCGUGGGGAGCAAACAGGAUUAGAUACCCUGGUAGUCCACGCCCUAAACGAUGUCAACUGGUUGUUGGGGAUUUAUUUUCUCAGUAACGAAGCUAACGCGUGAAGUUGACCGCCUGGGGAGUACGGCCGCAAGGUUAAAACUCAAAUGAAUUGACGGGG